rnacentral:rRNA from 1 species
UACGUAGGGACCAAGCGUUGUUCGGAUUUACUGGGCGUAAAGAGCGUGUAGGCGGCCAAGCAGGUCCGUUGUGAAAACUGGAGGCUUAACCUCCAGACGUCGACGGAAACCGCGCGGCUAGAGUCCGGAAGAGGAGAGUGGAAUUCCUGGUGUAGCGGUGAAAUGCGCAGAUAUCAGGAAGAACACCAAUGGCGAAGGCAGCUCUCUGGGACGGUACUGACGCUGAGACGCGAAAGCGUGGGGAGCGAACAGG